rnacentral:rRNA from 1 species
UACGAAGGGGGCUAGCGUUGCUCGGAAUCACUGGGCGUAAAGGGUGCGUAGGCGGGUCUUUAAGUCAGGGGUGAAAUCCUGGAGCUCAACUCCAGAACUGCCUUUGAUACUGAAGAUCUUGAGUUCGGGAGAGGUGAGUGGAACUCCGAGUGUAGAGGUGAAAUUCGUAGAUAUUCGCAAGAACACCAGUGGCGAAGGCGGCUCACUGGCCCGAUACUGACGCUGAGGCACGAAAGCGUGGGGAGCAAACAGG